AAGACGACCCCAAUAGCCCUACAGUGUAUGUUUUAGAAGUCCUGAGGAGCCUCCUGAGGGCCGGGGACAGUGCAUGUUAUAGAAGUCCUGAGGAGCUCCUUUGAGGGCCGGGCACAGAGCAGAGGGAGUUUUGGUGGUCAUGUCCAUCCGAGAUGUGAUUAGUUGUGAUGUGAUGCAUUCCAUGAUGACAUAUGUUUUUAAUGUUUUUAUAGUUCUGC
rnacentral:lncRNA from 1 species